AAGACUGAUUUCGAAUCUUAGGUGAAUCUCAGGCGAAUCAGGCGGAUCGAUGAACCGUAAUCUGACUGCUUCUUCUAUGUUCUUCUUCGUCCGUCUCGUGAUGCAUUCCUCUGGACAAGAAGGAGGUGGGGUUGCCCAAGUUGUUGAUCCAGAAGGGGAGGAACGAACUGAAUAUCCCCCUCAAGGUCUUCGCAAUGACUCAGCCCAAGAAGGAGGUGGGGUUGCCCAAGUUGAUGAACCAGAAGGUGAGGAACCAACUGAAUAUCCGCC